GAUGAACGCUGGCGGCGUGCCUAAUACAUGCAAGUCGAGCGAACGGACGAGAAGCUUGCUUCUCUGAUGUUAGCGGCGGACGGGUGAGUAACACGUGGAUAACCUACCUAUAUGACUGGGAUAACUUCGGGAAACCGGAGCUAAUACCGGAUAAUAUUUUGAACCGCAUGGUUCAAAAGUGAAAGACGGUCUUGCUGUCACUUAUAGAUGGAUCCGCGCUGCAUUAGCUAGUUGGUAAGGUAACGGCUUACCAAGGCAACGAUGCAUAGCCGACCUGAGAGGGUGAUCGGCCACACUGGAACUGAGACACGGUCCAGACUCCUACGGGAGGCAGCAGUAGGGAAUCUUCCGCAAUGGGCGAAAGCCUGACGGAGCAACGCCGCGUGAGUGAUGAAGGUCUUCGGAUCGUAAAACUCUGUUAUUAGGGAAGAACAUAUGUGUAAGUAACUGUGCACAUCUUGACGGUACCUAAUCAGAAAGCCACGGCUAACUACGUGCCAGCAGCCGCGGUAAUACGUAGGUGGCAAGCGUUAUCCGGAAUUAUUGGGCGUAAAGCGCGCGUAGGCGGUUUUUUAAGUCUGAUGUGAAAGCCCACGGCUCAACCGUGGAGGGUCAUUGGAAACUGGAAAACUUGAGUGCAGAAGAGGAAAGUGGAAUUCCAUGUGUAGCGGUGAAAUGCGCAGAGAUAUGGAGGAACACCAGUGGCGAAGGCGACUUUCUGGUCUGUAACUGACGCUGAUGUGCGAAAGCGUGGGGAUCAAACAGGAUUAGAUACCCUGGUAGUCCACGCCGUAAACGAUGAGUGCUAAGUGUUAGGGGGUUUCCGCCCCUUAGUGCUGCAGCUAACGCAUUAAGCACUCCGCCUGGGGAGUACGACCGCAAGGUUGAAACUCAAAGGAAUUGACGGGGACCCGCACAAGCGGUGGAGCAUGUGGUUUAAUUCGAAGCAACGCGAAGAACCUUACCAAAUCUUGACAUCCUUUGACAACUCUAGAGAUAGAGCCUUCCCCUUCGGGGGACAAAGUGACAGGUGGUGCAUGGUUGUCGUCAGCUCGUGUCGUGAGAUGUUGGGUUAAGUCCCGCAACGAGCGCAACCCUUAAGCUUAGUUGCCAUCAUUAAGUUGGGCACUCUAAGUUGACUGCCGGUGACAAACCGGAGGAAGGUGGGGAUGACGUCAAAUCAUCAUGCCCCUUAUGGUUUGGGCUACACACGUGCUACAAUGGACAAUACAAAGGGCAGCGAAACCGCGAGGUCAAGCAAAUCCCAUAAAGUUGUUCUCAGUUCGGAUUGUAGUCUGCAACUCGACUACAUGAAGCUGGAAUCGCUAGUAAUCGUAGAUCAGCAUGCUACGGUGAAUACGUUCCCGGGUCU
rnacentral:rRNA from 1 species